CCGGCCGGGACAGGCUAGCAGCUAGCCGGCUAGCUAUAUAUACGAGACGGCUAGAGCUUACUGUGUAAAUAUGUUCAGUGUUGAGACCUGCAAAUUGCAGAAUGCUAUCGAGCUCAUCAGUGAGCCGAGGGUGAGAGAGCUAUCGAGCUAUCUGCCUACAGAUUGCAGAGCGCAGAAAGCCUAAGGCAAUUUUGUAGAGCAAGAAUUAACCGUUCAAUUCUCUGCAUUUCUCUUGCUGUUGGCGACAGACGCUCAAUUCCCUUGCUGUUCUCUGCAAUGCUCUUCACAAUACAACAGACGCUCUCUAGCUAUUGCCUAACACCAUGGUUAAUGAGCGCACACGACCCAAGUUAACUUUCCCUAUGCUAGCACAUCGUGCAGCUAGCGUCCAUCAACAAGGACAUCAGAUCCAUGCUACGGAUUAACGUUUACACAGGUCGAUCUCUACACUGCUACACCCGGUAGAUGUUGUUCUGCAAGUCGUCUAUAUCGUACAUCUUGGAAGGCUUGAGCCCCUGGCUGGAGUUGAAGAAAAGCGUGCACGACCACUUGAGGCUGUCGUUGACCUUCUGAACCUCCAGAACUUUGGGAGGUGAUGGGUGCGGGGUAGGGGCUUGGCAUUACUCGGGGCAAGGCUGUAGCCAAUCUAUCGCUUAGUGUUUGGCUGUUCGGAUGUCAAGGGGCAUUGCUUUCUUGAGUUAACUCGGGGGAAAGGUGGGGCCCUUUCCAUUAGCGGUCUGCGGGGAACCCUUUUCUACCCCUGAGNNNNNNNNNNNNNNNNNNNNNNNNNNNNNNNNNNNNNNNNNNNNNNNNNNNNNNNNNNNNNNNNNNNNNNNNNNNNNNNNNNNNNNNNNNNNNNNNNNNNUCAUUAUCUCGGUCAUCUAUGUAGAGUCGAUGUCAUUCAAGAAAGGAGUGUCAGAAGGCUGUACGGGGCUAUAUGAUCCACUUAAUGAUGGCACCAUUAGACUUUCUUCGGAAGGAAUAGGAUUUUAUUGCAUUGAGGAGAAAGAAUCGCAGGAUGAUUACCUGUCAUUCACAGAGAAGUUAUAACAUCUACCGGGUGUAGCAGUGUAGAGAUCGACCUGUAACUGUUCAGCUCCGUGCCCUCGCCGACCUCGCGGGGAGCAUUCCUCGCUUGCCGACGGCAUGUGCUGCCGCGAGACUGCGGGAGCUGCGAGCAUGUGUAUGGCGGUUCUCAACCACCGUUCCCACUGGCGACACCGCGACACGGCACUGGUUCGCCUAGAUCGAAACAUUAGCUUGUCCUCUCCUGGUAGCGGCGGCAAGAUGCGGUGAUUUGUUGUCCUUAGAUUAUCUUCCUCCGAGGCGAUUUGUUCUGCCUGAACUCCCCAAACGCCAAUCCUGCCACGGGAUUAUCUCUGGAAAAUUUAAUCAUCUGAAAUUCAAAUCACAGUGUAAAUCUGUAAACACAAACGCACAUGAGAAGAAUAAAUCGUGUCGAAAUCGAAAUCGUGGAUUGAUUUUAUUUUCAGGCUCCCGCAGACGAACUUGCAGAAAAGAAAGAAUUCUCUGAAGUCUGAAGCCGUGAUGGCCAUGGCCAUCGCCCAUCAGCAACCGCGCCUACGCGUUGCUUCUGGUGCUCCCUGUCGUGGCCGUGCUCCUCCGCGGAGAACCUGCCCACUCGUCGGCAGACUUACCUCUCGGCGGGCAGGCACUGUGCGGCUGCCUCCGGCGCUGUACCACCCGCGCUUCGCCGCGAAGGCGGUGGGGGGCCAGCUCCGGCGGUAGCCUGGCUUCGUCGCUAGUCCUCGUCCUUGGCGACGUCAAGGUUUGGGCCUCCACCAUAACGGCCACCGGAGGUGAAGGGGAUGACCAGAUGAGAUAGGGAGACAGGAGCAAGUGGACAGGAUAAAAGAUGGAUGGGGACCCACAUGUCCAGUCCAUGUCAUCGUACAAAUCAUGCCACGUAGGCGAUUUAAUGUAAGCUAACCAUGUUUUGGACCUCGGUGAUACAAUUAGCAAGUUUAGGAGAUCUGUAAUUUAAAAGUUUGGGAAUAUAGAUGACACAUUCAAACAAAUUUAAGUACCGCACAUGCAUUUUACUUAUAAAAAGAUAAUAGAGGCUAAUAUUUGGGACUCACUGAGCAGAUUGCCAGCAAGAGCGAUGACGUAGCGCCAUGUCGGCUGAAAACAGGGUGGAUUUGGGGGGUGGGGGAAUUUGUGUGCAGGAUAGCUGCAAAGCCCUCCUGGUACAGCCCUGGUCUAAUGGUGGACACGUGGACAACGCUUGUAUCCAAGGACAGGCUCCGACGCGAUCGACGCGGCUCAUGAUCAGUGGGAGAAUGUGGCUCCAGACAGAGCACAGGGACACGGCUCGGCUCCAUUUUUUUUCCUGUACGCCACUGCACAUAUUAGUCGUCCGCCGCCGCGCGACGAGCGACGACGUGUGUGUGCUGUACCAUCGGCGCACUUCCUGCUACUGUGCUCUGGGCGUAAGUUCUCUACUAAUCCAUUCAUUCAUUCAGUUAGCAUGAAUUUCUCCGAUUUCAUGAUUUAUUAUCAGCACACGAUUUAAGACUUUGCGCCACCAAAAUGCAAAUACUUUAUUUGGGUAGUUUAUCAGCAGAAGUAGCUUCAGAUAUAUUGUUUCCCUUGUCAAACAUUUCAUUGCAUUAGCAGUAAACUAUAGUACAUUGCAUCAAUCCAAUUUUCAGAAUCAAUGUACUGUAUCAGUUUCAGAUCAUGCUGACAAAUUGGCUGCUGAUUAGAAAGGCCGAAUCAAUUUAGAAGAUGCUGAUUUUGCUUGGAAUUGGUCAGCGGCCCUCGCAGGGCUAGUGUAGUGAUCAGAUUACAGAUGCAUUGUGAUGGAUGUAUUAUCUGAAUAUGUUGAAAAUUCAGAAAUUAAGGUUCAUGUGAAGAAGAAAUUUCUGCAAUGAAUGGAUCUUUAUGACUCCUUUCCUAAGCCUUUGAAUAAGUAAAGGUAGCUGGUAGCUGCUCGUGUUUCUAAAUGAUGCCCAUUUAGUUCAGGUUCUGUAUAUUGUAGUCAUCAAAUUACAGUUGUACAGAUAUGGAUGCGUUAAAAAGGAGAUGGAUGCGUUAAAAAAUGAUAAUUUUUCUGAUUUGUUGCAAAAUAGAAUCUUCAAGUGUUAUCUGGAUGAUGAUCACCCAUACUUGAACAAUCAAUGGUGGCUGCAAGGUAUGUUGCAGCAGGGUAUCAUCGGGAACAAUCAAUGGUGGCUGCAAGGUAUGUUGCAGCAGGGUAUCAUCGGGAGGCAUAAGUGAUGGCUGAGACGACCUCCGUGGCUUCUACGCAGUAGAAUCAUCACAAUUGUGCGGCGGCUAGGCACGCGGUGCCGCCAUCAGUAUAUCGGACGUUGGGUUUGGGAUCGCGGGAUGAGAGACUAGAGCCGCGCCUGGGAGCCUAGAAGUGGAGCUGUGCGUGGAGAAGCUGAGUGAGUUAAUACGUGAAGCCAGGAGGAGUCGAGCGUGCGAGUAUGCCGAGCGCAAAAGAGAUAUGCCGUCUGAUCAUCUAGGCCAGGAGGGUUUUGCAGCCCUUUGCACACAAUUUUUUUCCGGAUUUGGGUUGGGUGGUCGCGAAGUAACCGGUUUCGAGAGUGAAAAUUUGGACCGGCUGAAAACAAGGAUCGUGAAUGGACGGUUUUUGAGGGCAGGGUGAAAAUUUGGACCAGCCCAUAAUCCAAGGGGUUGAAUAAGACUUUUUCCAAUUCUAUAUCUCAAGCUAGGCCCAGAAGAAAAGUAAGGGUCCACGCCAUAACGGCCCAACUCUAAACAAGUUGUUCUGGCGUAUCCCUCGUAUAAAUCUUCCCAACCCUAACCUCGUGGUGCUUCCCCUCCCCAUCUCCUCCGACCAUGUCUACCUCCUCUCAUCCUGACUGCAUCCUCCUCGUCGUGCCUACUUAAAACCUAGAAACACCGAUCCCUAACCCUAACUCCCACAUCCACCCCCGCCACCACUGGCCUCCACCGCGGCCGCUUUCACCCCGCCUCCUCUCCCCCGAGCUCUGCUUAGGGUUUCAAAGACGUGUAUCAGUCGUCACCGGUAGCUUCCGUCCCUAGCGUAGCCACUGGUAUGUUUCGACGCCUUCCUCUUCUCUUUCUCUAUUUUUCCCUUUUCUGGAUGAGUUCCAAACUGACAAGUUUCUCUGUUAGGCACCAUGUCAUCCCUAUACGAGAAACGUCCACUCGAUGCUAAUGGAAAUGUGAUUGGAAUGGUGCUUCAAGGUACACAGAGAUCUAUAGACCAGGUGGCAAUAUACAAUAUGGUCACCCUCAAGUAUUCUUCAAUUUAUGGGCAGCAAGGCCCUGUGACAGAAGAAAGUCUCAAGUCCAUCAUCAAUGAGAUGCUAGAGCAAUGUAUUUGUGGAGUAGAAGGUAUCUCAGCUGCUCAAGCAAUGGAAGUUAAACAUGCGCUUUCUAACAUUUGUACCAAUUUCUCUAUGCAACCACGCCUGAGCGGCCACAUGGAUUUUGUGACUAAUGCGUCAUACUUGCUAUGUCGUAUUUUGGGUUUAACUGUGUUGCAUGGGUGGGUUCUAAAUCCUGAAGUUAGCAGCUAUGAUUCUCUUAACAGAUUCUCUCAUGAAGAGUUGCUGAAGCACACAUGUGAUCUAAAAGGACAAAAUGACCAAGUCUGUGAUGGUUUACAUGAUGGUUUUAAAAAUCAGCUAACUUCUUAUGGGUUUAAUUCUUUACCCGCGAAGUUAACUGAUGAUGCAAUAGCACUACUUUUCUGUCGCAACAGAUUGAAUAUUUAUUCACAAGCAUUGUGAUGUUGUAUAUAUAUAUGUAACUGAUGAGGACAUUCGCAAACAAAUGUCUGAAGCGGUUUGGAUGUUGUUUGAAGAGUGCCAAGAAAGAAAUAUUUACUUCACCGAAAAGUAUACCACUGUCAAAGGGCAACCGUGUGAAAAAGAGGCUAGGGAAUGGUACAUGAGGUUUCUUCAGAUGAAGAAUACUCGGAUGAAAAAUGAGAAAGUUACAAGGACAAUCUCAUGACGUGGCAGUCAUCUCGAAGGAGAAUCAAGAUUAACAGUUCUUUUAUGUAGUUAUCAUGAACUUUUAAUUAUGUCAAUUUAAGAUAUAAGUUUAGUUUCCAUAGGAAUUCUGUUUGGUUCAUUUGUGUGCAACCUAGUAGGUUCUGUAAUUUAAAUUAUUUAAUGACUUUACAAUUUCCUUUCUUUUGAACUAGAAUUUCAAAAAUCAAAUACAUACACAAGAAUUUUGAGUAAUGUUGUGCGCUUCCUUGUGUUAUUAACUGUGAUUUUACUGAGUUGCUGUAGAUCGGGCUUUUCUUUGUUGUCUGCUAUAUUGUAAGGUCAUCUGUUACGUGGUAACAAAUUGCAUUGGUAAUGUCUUUUGUCGUUAGUACCAUGCUGUUUAUGCAGCCGAAUUAAGUUUAAAUACGUUUGGGUUGUGCACAUCCUUGUUGAACAUUGUUGGCACUGGCUGAUAAAUUUACUGUUAUCAAUUUUUUUCACUAUUCUUUCUUUUGACGAAAUAUGCUUUUACUGUAUGACUGCCUUUUCUUUAUCAUUUAGCAUUUAGACUGGAAGUGAUUCUAAAUUCUAAUGUUAAUAUUGUGCACAACAUCAUUCUUUAAGCCGACGAUGUUCUAAUUAUGUGCAGUAGACUUGAUCGUGAGGUUGCGGUUACAGUUCAGUUGAUUGAGCACAUAAUGUUUAUUCCUUUUACGUGAUCUAUUUGCUGACUGUUGAAAGAGGGUUUAUAAGACAAUUUUGUUUGCAACCUUUUGUCAGCAGAAUGGUUUAUUGCAGGAUAAACUUCUUUAAUGUGUUUCACUUUAGCUAAUUAUAAAGAAAAGUUGUUGUUGUUAUAAUGUUAGAAUUUCUCUGAGAUAGGAAUGGUGGUGUAGUAGGUCUGAGAUUAGGAAUACUUUGUGUUGCUUUGAAGGCUGGUCUUUUGAAUUCUGUACAUGAUUGCUGACUUGUGGCAUCUGUCAUUUUAGAAUAUUUUAGUUUAUCGAUCUGUGCUUGUGUGUUCUAGAAGAUAGCACUGGUCGUGUAUUCUUCUUAUUUGGAUCUUUCUGUUGUCCUUAAAUGUGCUCUUUGUUUAAGUGGUGCAUAUUCUCAAGUGUUGAGCAACGUGGUGUGCUUAUUUCAAGAUUAAGAAUAGUUCAAGCCUUCCUCCAUCAGUCAUUUAUAGGGUUAAGUUAUAUCUGUUGGUACCUUGCGUUCAAUUUUCAGUUUGAGCUUGCUGAUGAUGGCCGUCUAUGUUGUGGAUCAAUAUUCUUAUGGAAACGCGUUUAUCCUCCUACAGAGGUACAAGUUCAUGUUGGCACAGUUUGAUUACUCUGGCAGUUUCCUCAUGAAAUCAGUUAACUCCAUACUUCUUCUGUGAUCAUCUGUUGCAGGAAUCUGAUCGCCACACAGUUAUCGUGGUGGAAGGACCAUAUUCUGUGGAGUAUGACUCUGUAUACGUUUUUCUGACUGUGUGGCUGGGCUUGUAAUGUCACACUGGUUCUGACCAUUGAGAAGGCUGAUGAAGAUUCAUCGGGAGUUUUGCAGCCGGAUUGGAAGCUUGUAGGAGAAAUUUUUGUGGUAAUUGUGCGACGAAUUGAACUUGCUUCUUGGCCUGGACUGGAAUCUUGGUCUGACGAUAUUAGUGAUGGUCUGCUUUAGUUGGGUUGCUGAAUUUGGAGGACGUCCUUACUCCUUGCUGUUUUGCUUCACGCUUUGAACUAUCUGAAGGAAUUACUGUCAUGGUCUCAUGGAUGAAGCAAAAUUCAACCACAUUUUCAGCAUUUGUCCUUCGGAAGUCAUGCAGUGCCGUUUGCCCCUUAAUGCAGUGGCGGGUAAAUGAUUGUCAUUAACUUUUUUUUUCUUUCCAUAACUUGAAUUAACCUGCCCUACGCUAGUACGUCGUGCAGCUAGUGUCCAUCAACAUUCAACAAAGACAUCAGAUCCAUGCACACAAGAUGAGAGAGAGUACCAAUUGCUAGCUACGGAUUAACGUUUACAGGUCGAUCUCUACACUGCUACACCCGGUAGAUGUUGUUCUGCAAGUCUAUAUUGUACAUCUUGGAAGGCUUGAGCCCCUGGGUGGCGUUGAAGAAGAA
rnacentral:lncRNA from 1 species